UCCGGCUUAUCACCGGCGGUUUCCUUAGAGUGCCCAACUAAAUGAUGGCAACUAAGGACGAGGGUUGCGCUCGUUGCGGGACUUAACCCAACAUCUCACGACACGAGCUGACGACAGCCAUGCAGCACCUGUCACCGCGUCCCCGAAGGGAACUCCAAAUCUCUCUGGAUAGCGCGGGAUGUCAAAGGCUGGUAAGGUUCUGCGCGUUGCUUCGAAUUAAGCCACAUACUCCACCGCUUGUGCAGGCCCCCGUCAAUUUCUUUGAGUUUCAACCUUGCGGCCGUACUCCCCAGGCGGUCAACUUCACGCGUUAGCUUCGUUACUGAACAGCAAGCCGUCCAACAACCAGUUGACAUCGUUUAGGGCGUGGACUAC
rnacentral:misc_RNA from 1 species